AAUAGAUACCCAGGUAGUCCACGCCGUAAACGAUGAGUGCUAAGUGUUAGAGGGUUUCCGCCCUUUAGUGCUGCAGCUAACGCAUUAAGCACUCCGCCUGGGGAGUACGGCCGCAAGGCUGAAACUCAAAGGAAUUGACGGGGGCCCGCACAAGCGGUGGAGCAUGUGGUUUAAUUCGAAGCAACGCGAAGAACCUUACCAGGUCUUGACAUCCUCUGCCAACCCUAGAGAUAGGGCGUUCCCCUUCGGGGGACAGAGUGACAGGUGGUGCAUAGCUGUCGUCAGCUCGUGUCGUGAGAUGUUGGGUUAAGUCCCGCAACGAGCGCAACCCUUGAUCUUAGUUGCCAGCAUUCAGUUGGGCACUCUAAGGUGACUGCCGGUGACAAACCGGAGGAAGGUGGGGAUGACGUCAAAUCAUCAUGCCCCUUAUGACCUGGGCUACACACGUGCUACAAUGGAUGGUACAAAGAGCUGCGAACCCGCGAGGGUAAGCGAAUCUCAUAAAGCCAUUCUCAGUUCGGAUUGGU
rnacentral:rRNA from 1 species